rnacentral:pre_miRNA from 1 species
UUGAAGAAUUUGAAGACUUAAACUUGCAGACUUGAAGAAUUUGAAGACUUAAACUUGCAGACUUGAAGAAUCACUUCAAGAAUUUGAAGAUUUCAACU